AACUUUUAGCAAUGGAUCUCUUGGCUCUCGCAUCGAUGAAGAACGCAGCGAAAUGCGAUAAGUAAUGUGAAUUGCAGAAUUCAGCGAAUCAUCGAAUCUUUGAACGCACCUUGCGCCCUUUGGCUAUUCUGAAGGGCAUGCCUGUUUGAGUAUCAUGAACACCUCAACUCUCAUGGUCCGCCAUGAUGAGCUUGGACUUUGGGGGUCUUGCCGGCCCAGUGUCGGCUCCUCUCAAAUGGAUCAGCUUGCCAGUGUUUGGUGGCGUCACAGGUGUGAUAACUAUCUACGCUUGUGGUUUUCUGCCAUAUAACCUUCAGUGAUGGAGGUUCUCUGGAGCUCACAGAUGUCUCUCCUUGGGGAGGACAGCUUUUGAACGUUUGAUCUCAAAUCAGGUAGGACUACCCGCUGAACUUAAGCAUAUCAAUAAGCGGAGGCU
rnacentral:misc_RNA from 1 species